rnacentral:rRNA from 1 species
GAGUUUGAUCCUGGCUCAGAACGAACGCUGGCGGCGUGCCUAACACAUGCAAGUCGAACGGAUUUGAGGAGCUUGCUUCUCAAGUUAGUGGCGCACGGGUGAGUAACGCGUAGAUAAUCUGCCUGAUGAUCUGGGAUAACACUUCGAAAGGGGUGCUAAUACCGGAUAAGCCCACGGAGUCUUUGGACUUUGCGGGAAAAGGGGGGGACCUUCGGGCCUUCUGUCAUCARAUGAGUCUGCGUACCAUUAGCUAGUUGGUAGGGUAAAGGCCUACCAAGGCUACGAUGGUUAGCUGGUCUGAGAGGAUGAUCAGCCACACUGGAACUGAGACACGGUCCAGACUCCUACGGGAGGCAGCAGUGGGGAAUUUUGGACAAUGGGCGCAAGCCUGAUCCAGCCAUACCGCGUGAGUGAAGAAGGCCUUCGGGUUGUAAAGCUCUUUCAGCCGGAAAGAAAACGCACGGGUUAACACCUUGUGUGGAUGACGGUACCGGAAGAAGAAGCACCGGCUAACUACGUGCCAGCAGCCGCGGUAAUAC